CCACAUUUUUUUUUCCUCCAACCUGGAGUUUUCUUAUUUCUGUUCAGAAAAAAGGUUGAAAAGAAAACAGACCUAACAUCUGACUCCCUCGCGCCUAACCUCGCCGACAUUCACAGUGGGAGCCGAUCAAUUUAAGGCUGCGCCUGAGGAGUAAACUCAGGAACAAACAGCGAACCGUUGCCUUUAGCCGGUCAGCUGUGCGUGACUGCGAGCAAAAGCGGCUGCAGAGCACGCUCAAGUCCUCAACUUCAAGGUAGUUUAUUUUUCUGUCUUUUAUAUCUCCUUUGUUGUUGUCCUUGAUGCGCAAUCAUAUUUGCUUGAGAUUCCACUUCCAUGUCCCUAAGUAUUCUGUUGACUUUCAGGCUAAGUGUUCGAGAUUAUGCAAUUUGAAAGUUCUAGAGAUUAAGUUUUGAUGCUUAUUCUAUCUUUUUUUUGUUGCAGAUUUCUAUAUCUAUAGACUUUAAUACUGACCCUUGAGGUCUUGGUAUUGAAUAAUAGCAACCAAUGGGUUCUGUCGAUUAUGUUUAAUGCUAUGCAGCAAAUAU
rnacentral:lncRNA from 1 species